rnacentral:lncRNA from 1 species
UUUUGACUGUAAUCAAACAGGUUUCCUCCAUGGUUGCAGACAUUCUGAAAGGGUCUGGGGGAGAAGAGGGCAGAAGGGCCGGUGAGGGAAAGCUAGCGAAGGAACGGCAGGCGUGGAAGGUGCGUUUCCGAGCAGAGACUCAUCGUGAACCAGAGCAUAGGAACAGCUCUUUCAAUUGCAGACAUCCCAAUGAGCUAGAAGGCUAUGGAGAGGCCAGAACAUUCUGGCACACAGGGACGUGUAAUAAUACUCAUAUUGGCUAACAUUUAUGGAGGUUUAUUGCAAGCCGGGCGCUGUGCUGAGAACAUUACUCAUUUGAACUUCACAACAGCCAUAGAAAAGCAGGUGCUAUUACUAUUAUCCUCGGUUUGCAGAUGUGAAAGCUGAGACCGGGAAAGAUGAAGUCAUUUAUCCAGGUCUUUUAAAUGCCAAAGCCCAAGCUAGAAUCACUACUGUGCUGCCUGAAUGAACAGGUACAAUGCCAUUGCAAUGGGAAGAAGAAAGUGCUAGGGUUGGUUCUCCUUCACCUUCUGCCAUGAGUGGAAGCUUCCUGUGGCCCUCACCAGAAGCAGAUGCUGGCACCAUGCUUCUUGUACACCCUGCAAUAAGCUAUGAUGAUUGCACCACUGCAUUCCAGCCUGAGAAACUCCAGCCUGCAGAACUGUGAGCCAAAUAAAC